GACGAACGCUGGCGGCGUGCCUAACACAUGCAAGUGGAGCGACGAACCAGGCUUCGGCCUGGGGCAAAGCCGCGAACGGGUGAGUAACACGUGGGUAACCUGCCCUGAUGAUUGGGACAACCCGAGGAAACUCGGGCUAAUACCGAAUGUGCCCUCCGGCCUCAAGGCCGCUGGGGAAAGGAAGCUUCGGCCUCCGCAUCGGGAUGGGCCCGCGGCCCAUUAGCUUGUUGGUGAGGUAACGGCUCACCAAGGCGACGAUGGGUAGCUGGUCUGAGGGGACGAUCAGCCACACUGGGACUGAGACACGGCCCAGACUCCUACGGGAGGCAGCAGUGGGGAAUCUUGCGCAAUGCGCGAAAGCGUGACGCAGCAACGCCGCGUGGGGAAGAA
rnacentral:rRNA from 1 species